GAGAUUUGGGAGAUGUUUGAGUAAGAUGGUAAUCUUCUAGGGGUUUGAAUUAAUAUUCAAGUUAGGUUUGAAUAUUAAUUCUUGGAUUUCUAGUUUAGGAAUUAUUUUGGAGGGGUCAUUUCCUAAGUUUUUAUGGUUUGAAAGGGAUCAACAUAGAUAAGGUUCAAGGACUUGAAUAUUACACUUGUAUAAUGUUCAGGGAAGUUGACAUAGGAUCCGAAUAGGAUGAAUAUUUGAAUAGAAUGCAAAUAUUGUUUCUAGGAGUUCUAAAAGCUUUAUCGAGAGAGGUACUCCUAGAGCAAUCAAAUGCAACACACAUGCUUAGAUUCACUGCAUGGUUUUUAAUGUAAAAAGAAGUUGAAUAAUUUUGAGAAAAUAA
rnacentral:lncRNA from 1 species